CACGUAGGGGGCGAGCGUUGUCCGGAUUUAUUGGGCGUAAAGAGCUCGUAGGCGGCUCAGUAAGUCAGGUGUGAAAACUCCAGGCUCAACCUGGAGACGCCACUUGAUACUGCUGUGGCUAGAGUCCGGUAGGGGAGCAUGGAAUUCCUGGUGUAGCGGUGAAAUGCGCAGAUAUCAGGAAGAACACCCGUGGCGAAAGCGGCUCUCUGGAACGGUACUGACGCUGAGACGCGAAAGCGUGGGGAGCGAACAGG
rnacentral:rRNA from 1 species